GGUAGUGAUGAUGAGGUGGUGGUGGGAGAGGAAGAUGAGUUGACCGAAAGCAAGGAUUCUGUCAAUGGCACAUCCACUUCCAACACAAACCUCAUCGAUCAAUUUCCUGGGAGUGGUCUGGUUUCGCAAAGCGGUGAUGCAAAUGCCCCUGAUACAAGCUUUUUCAAAUAUGAGACAUCAGUCAAAGAAGAAUUGUUUGGAGAUAGGCCUUUACCUGAAUGGGUAGGGUGGGGAGAGUCAUCAGAUUUGCAAGCAGGGGGGUCAACUGUGAAUCCAUUUGAAGAUCAUGACAACUCUGAUGACUCUCUUUCCAGCCAAGCGAAAACAGUAACACCUGGUGCCAGUUCCCCAUCAAGUGGGGA
rnacentral:lncRNA from 1 species